CUCCUCUCUCUGGCAGUUCACCUGUUUGUGUUCCUGGCUUUUGGUUCCUGCUUCCUCGCAUUGUUUUCUUGUUUUUAAAACAGCAUCAGACCCUUCAUCAGCUGGUUUAUAAGGGUCUGAGGGCUGUGACAUCCAGGAAGUAAGAGAAGCACCAGAGCCAGGCUCUCAGGUGUCCGGGGCCAUUGUGGUAUGGUUAGCAGUUGUUAGACCGACCGCCGCUCAGCCAGCCGGCUCUCGUGUUACAGCAGGAGCCUCGGACACAGCGGGGAAGAAGACACCUGUGUGAGAGGAACACUGUGCCACAUGUGCCUGAGACGACCCAGUGGUCACACCAUUCAGGACUGAUCACAGGACAGGGAGUGAUGCCAGAGAAUCAGACAGAGACAAUCACAUUCACUCCCCUCAACCACAACUCCAGACAUGCACGCUGACCCGGGCACGAGGACCCGGAACACAUUACGCCGCCAUCGGGAGCAAUGCCUCAUUUUUAGAAGACGGAAACUCUAAACGCCGGCAGAAGUCACCUUGAGAGAGAACCAACGGGAGGCUCAAACGUACAUGUGAUGUUGCACAAUUCAUGCUGUCAAUGUAAAAAAGGACAACAGUAAUGUUAGCUGGGAAGUGCUUGACUGCUAACGUUAGAAUUAAGGUUAUCAAAUACUUCAAUUACGGCCAAAUGUCCCUCCAGAUGUUAACUAUCCAUCACCCUUUUAACCUUUUUAUCAUGUUUUCGCUACAUUAAAGGACUUUAUAUUGGGAGCUGGUCAUCUUGCAGCACAACAGUAUCCCGGCCUGAGCAUGAUGUCAUAGAAAAAAUGGCCGCCAUGUGAAUAUGGUCUGUGUGUGAACUGAAUAAGGCUGAGCAAGAUCACAGCUACAAACAUCUGUUUUAUUUAUCAGAGAACUUGGCUUUUGACGUGCAGAGAUAGUUCACAACUGACAAGAUAUUAAGAAUUACUGCCCUGCAUAUAUUAAUGCUGUCCCAUAAAAGCUACCAGCUGUCUUUUUUUUUAAAGAUUAUGCAAAAGGUUUUUUUUUUUUUUCUUCUUCCGAAUUUUUCCCUCGUUUCUCUUUAGCAAAAGAAAUCCAUCUACAGCUGCCAAAAUGGCACCCAAGCACAUAACUGGAACAAAUGAUACUGCGGAGGAGCAGACUCACCAUGGGUCUGCGGUUCUCCACCAGGUGGAUGCCAACAAUGCCCAGAAAUGCUCCAAAACUCAGCUGGAGGUACAGACAGAUCAAAGUGGAGGAGAAAGAUUAAAACACAUUAGGGUGUAAAGGAGGACACAACACACCUGUGGAGUGUUUGAGGGGUCAGUUACAGGAGAUGUGACUCACAGUGAUUCCUGGGUAAUAUCCAGCAACGGGUACGUUGUCGGUGCGAGUGGCAGAGAUCAGGCCGAUAGUCAGAACCACUAGAGCCAGAGCCAGCAGAGACACGGUCACCCACAGAGCCGACUUCCUCCGA